GACGAACGCUGGCGGCGUGCUUAACACAUGCAAGUCGAACGGUGACGCCAGAGCUUGCUCUGGUUGAUCAGUGGCGAACGGGUGAGUAACACGUGAGUAACCUGCCCUUGACUCUGGGAUAACUCCGGGAAACCGGGGCUAAUACCGGAUACGAGACGCGGCCGCAUGGUCGGCGUCUGGAAAGUUUUUCGGUCAAGGAUGGACUCGCGGCCUAUCAGCUUGUUGGUGAGGUAAUGGCUCACCAAGGCGUCGACGGGUAGCCGGCCUGAGAGGGCGACCGGCCACACUGGGACUGAGACACGGCCCAGACUCCUACGGGAGGCAGCAGUGGGGAAUAUUGCACAAUGGGCGAAAGCCUGAUGCAGCGACGCCGCGUGAGGGAUGAAGGCCUUCGGGUUGUAAACCUCUUUCAGUAGGGAAGAAGCGAAAGUGACGGUACCUGCAGAAGAAGCGCCGGCUAACUACGUGCCAGCAGCCGCCGUAACAC
rnacentral:rRNA from 1 species